rnacentral:lncRNA from 1 species
UAAUCAAGGUUGAAGGAGCUCUUCGAUCAAUAUGCUUUGCGAGAUCCGGAUGCACAGAUCCUCUACUUCAUGUCACGUCAAACGCUAUAGGAGAGAGAGAUGAACUCUUUCUUCAUAGAGGAAGGAGAAGUACUCUUGAGAUCUGAUCUCAAAGCUUUGAAGCAGCCCACACACCACCAUGCCAAGAGGAGGGAGGACACCCAAGUGGAGAGAGAAGCCCAAGGAGAGUACACACCCA